rnacentral:tRNA from 1 species
GGGGAUAUGGCUCAGUUGGUAGAAUGUUUGCCUCACAUGCACAAGGCCCUACCUAGGUUCAAUCCCUAAUAUCACCA